AAAGAGGCAUCCAUUUGGUGACAGAUGAAAUUUUGAGGCAUUUGCCAGAGAUUAAAAAGUUUUCAGUAGGGCUAUGUCACGUUCAGAUACUACACACAUCAGCAAGUUUGUCAUUGAAUGAAAAUUGGGAUCCAAAUGUUCGCGUGGAUAUGGAGACCAUGCUUAACAAAAUAGUGCCUGAGAACCUCCCAUACAAGCACUGCGCCGAAGGUCCUGACGAUAUGGGCAUCUGGCUGUGUGAGCACCGGGACGAGGCGGGCGCGCGCAAGCUGGUGGUGACGCUGAACGGCUGCCCGCGCGACGGACCCACGCCCAACUCGCCGCUC